UUCAUCCGUCCUCUCCCUCUCUAGCGCGUCUCUCCUGCUUGUUUUUCACCGCUCGGGUCUGCGAGUAGAACGCUCGCGCUCGGCCGCGCUGCUGUGAUUGGAGGGCUGCAGCAGCGCGCUGCUGUGAUUGGAGGACUGAAUCAGGGCUCAUCGCGUUACGCGCACGAGAGGAAUGUUCUCUCACACAGAGGCACAACUAGAAAGAAAAGAACGAUAGAAACCGGAGAAAAACGUUCUGGAAAGCAGGAGAAAAUCACCUAAAACCUCACCACAGAAAGUCUCUAGAAUUCACGCUUUGAAGUAGACCUUCGUCACGAGCCAUAAGUCCUAAUUUGGAAGGAUUUUGAGUUGUUUGAGCGGCUUCAUCAAAUAGGUACUACAAAGGCUUUUCACAGAGGUUUGUGGCUUUGCUCUGUGAUCAGCUCUAGACGGAAGACUCGUAAUGCUGAUACCCAUGAGUCCCCUUCAUCAUCAUGUGCUGCCACACUUGCUACCCUGUGAGGGAGAGAAGGAGAGUACGCAACCUUGAUUACCGAUGCUCAGAGAUUAACCCUUAACCCUGCGCCUGAGACAGAGACAGACCAAUGCAAUCAGCGAGUUUCCUGUCUCAUAAUUAUUGCUGCUUGAUUGGUCUGUCAGAGACCAGAUACCCUGCAGCCCACCUCCACCGUUCCACUCUGCAUUAAUGACCCAUGACAUAUGAGAACCGUGUUUACAUGCAGAACUCCAUACCGCCAC